UGGGGAAUUUUGGACAAUGGGCGAAAGCCUGAUCCAGCAAUGCCGCGUGUGUGAAGAAGGCCUUCGGGUUGUAAAGCACUUUUGUCCGGAAAGAAAUCCUUGGCUCUAAUACAGUCGGGGGAUGACGGUACCGGAAGAAUAAGCACCGGCUAACUACGUGCCAGCAGCCGCGGUAAUACGUAGGGUGCAAGCGUUAAUCGGAAUUACUGGGCGUAAAGCGUGCGCAGGCGGUUUGCUAAGACCGAUGUGAAAUCCCCGGGCUCAACCUGGGAACUGCAUUGGUGACUGGCAGGCUAGAGUAUGGCAGAGGGGGUAGAAUUCCACGUGUAGCAGUGAAAUGCGUAGAGAUGUGGAGGAAUACCGAUGGCGAAGGCAGCCCCCUGGGCCAAUACUGACGCUCAUGCACGAAAGCGUGGGGAGCAAACAGGAUUAGAUACCCUGGUAGUCCACGCCCUAAAACGAUGUCAACUAGUUGUUGGGGAUUCAUUUCCUUAGUAACGUAGCUAACGCGUGAAGUUGACCGCCUGGGGAGUACGGUCGCAAAGAUUAAAACUUAAAUGAAUUGACGGGGUCAUAGCUGUUUCCU
rnacentral:rRNA from 1 species